ensembl:lincRNA
ACUGAAGGUAACUGGACCCUCAUCAGGAAGGAUAGAUAUAGCUUACCUGUCCAGGUGCAGGCUGAGGUGCUGAACAUCUAGGAGUGAAGAUGGGAGCUGCUCCAAGAAGAGGCAGAGAACAGAGCUCGCCUCUAGGACAGAGUCAAGUGAUUGUGCACUUGCUUCAGACGUCACUGCUCAAAAUAGCUGCAUGAGAGGCUGCGGUGAGCCAAGGUCACGACACUGCACUCCAGCCUGGGCAACAGGGCAAGACUCCGUCUCAAAAAAUAAAAAAAAAUAAAAAAAACGAAAUAGCUGUAUGACUCCUCCUCCUUUUUACUUGGGGGAGAGAGAGUUUGAGGUGGAAAGAGGAGAGAUGGGCAGGAAGAACGGGUUCUCACCACGCUUUCCCACUGGUGAGAGAACAGGUACGUGUCCUCCUUUGGGGAAAAUCCAGGGGCAAAUACAGGGUGCCAAGAGAGCGAAUUUCAGGAACUCCUCCUUGUCCUCAAGGACGAGACCAUGGAUUCCAGAUCCAGAGGACAGGUAGAUGUCGGCCUGGCAGAGGUGGGGCUGGGGAGGAGGUUUUAGCCGGCGAUUACUGCUGAUCAAAAUCCCCAAGGAGAAAGAAAAUAUAGCCUGCCUAGGAACUGAAAGAAGCUUGGAGUGUUCAGCCUAAAAUGAGGCAUUUUAUGUAAAUUAGUGGGCAUGAUUCCUGCUACAUUGUAUGUACCUGAUGGCUUACGGUUAUUUUGCAGAAGUUUACUUCUUACUGGGUGGAGACACUUGGCAUUUGUAAAUGAGAAUAACAAUUUGAAGGAAGAUAAGAACAAGAACAAAACCUCCUAUAGCAUAAACAGAAACGUUUGGAGUGUAUUAAUCUGCUGCUUACUUUCGAAAAUGCCAUCAGCCUCUUUCCGCGCAGGAAGCUGGGGGAGCGGCACCCGGCCCUCUGUGUCAGUGCCUGGGAAGCGCCUGAGGAUUUCUGGGCGACCAGGAGCCAGGGCCGCCACCGUUCCCGGGACAGGGAAGAGGAGGUUCACAUUUCACUCCUGGAAGGAGAAAAUGGAAAAUGUUCUACCAGGAGGCACGAAUCACUCUGGCACAUGCUGUAAUAGCUGCAGCGGGAACGAAUUCAGCCCAUGACAUUUGAAUGUACGAGAAAUUCUCUUUAUUAUCAGUUUCUCCUCAAUCCAGUUGCAACUCUCUCCUGCCCAGCCCCAUGCAUCAGGGUUUUCAAGAGAUUUAAUUUUGGUCCUUUACCCUUUUAGGGGGUUGGGCUGAGAUCCUUAACAUCCUCCAGAGUAUGGUAAGGGCCUCAGGGGGUCUCAAGCCAUCAGAAAUAUUUGGGGAGGGGUCUGGUGCUCCUUCCACCAGGGUCUCACUGUAGAGGCAACGGUGGUGCACAGUCACAUCUCCCGUCGUGAGGAGCUGUUGAAGACACAGGUGCGUGGAGGGGCGGCCAGAGCCUGCUAAGAGCCGCAGGAAUGUCCGACCCAAACUCUAGGGCAGGAAGAGCAGCGGGAAGCCUUGGGAGGCCAGCCAGCCAUUUAGCUCCUCCCUGGGAGCCAUUCUCUAGCAGAGCUGCCAGAGUCAUAAAUAAAAAUACAGGAUGCCCAAUUAAAUGUGCAUUUUACAUAAGCAAUUGUAUUCAUGUCCUGUGGCUGCUGUAACAAAUCACCUCAAUCUGGGGCGCUUAAAACAACAGAAAUUUAUUAUCACAGUCUAGAGGCCAAAAGACCAACGUCAAGGUGUCAGGGCUGGGCUCCCUCGGGAGGAUCCAGGACCCUUUUGGCCUCUUCCUGCUCCUGGGGCCUCCAGGCGUCCCUUGGCUCGUGGCCGCAUUGCUCCAGCCUCUGCUUCUGCCCUCACACGGGCUCUUCCCUGCGCGUCUCUCCUCUGUCUUCAUGUCAUUCGUAUGAGGACAUCAGUCACUGGACUUAGGGCCCGCCCUACUUCAAUAUGACCUCGUCUUAACUAAUUACCUCUACAAAGAACCUAUUUCCAAAUAGAGUCACCUUCUAAAGUUCCGGGUGGGCACGAACUUCUUGGUGGACGCUAUUCAACCCGUAAUAACAAUGAAAAAGUUGUUUUACUUCUGCAGGACCUAUUCUAUGCGAAAAUAGUUCUUUUUUUAUCUGAAAUUCAAAUAUUACAAGAGACCUACUUAUACUAAAAAGCUAUUCAUUUUUACCUGAAGCUCAAAUAUUGCAUGAGACAUAGAUAUUAAAAUUAUUUGUUGUUUAUCUGAAAUUCAAAUGUUGCAUUGGAUAUGCUUAUACUAAAAAGGCAUUCCUAUUUUAUCUGGUAACUCUCUUCCUGCGUCCCCCAGCGUCCGUGUGUGUCCUGCCCCUCUGCAGUUCCGCCGUCUUGCAGGCCUCCAUGGUUCCGUGGGAGAUAGAGAGCGCAGGUCACCCACCCCGGGGACACUGCAAGUGGUUACACCCUCCCCCACCCUUCACCCCCCACACCCCCCUCCCCACCCCAACUGGUGCAGGGCCCCAGUCCUGUGGCCUGUGAGGAGAGCUCAGACUUUGGAAAUCUGAAUAAUG